AGAGUUUGAUCCUGGCUCAGGAUGAACGCUGGCGGCGUGCCUAACACAUGCAAGUCGAGCGAGAAGCUGAUGACAGAUACUUCGGUUGAAGGAGUCAGUGGAAAGCGGCGGACGGGUGAGUAACGCGUAGGCAACCUGCCUUGGAGAGGGGGAUAACACUUAGAAAUAGGUGCUAAUACCGCAUAAGCGCACGGUUCCGCAUGGAACAGUGUGAAAAACUCCGGUGGUAUACGAUGGAUCCGCGUCUGAUUAGCCAGUUGGCGGGGUAACGGCCCACCAAAGCGACGAUCAGUAGCCGGCCUGAGAGGGUGAACGGCCACAUUGGGACUGAGACACGGCCCAAACUCCUACGGGAGGCAGCAGUGGGGAAUAUUGCACAAUGGGGGAAACCCUGAUGCAGCGACGCCGCGUGAGUGAAGAAGUAUCUCGGUACGUAAAGCUCUAUCAGCAGGGAAGAAAAUGACGGUACCUGAUUAAGAAGCCCCGGCUAACUACGUGCCAGCAGCCGCGGUAAUACGUAGGGGGCAAGCGUUAUCCGGAUUUACUGGGUGUAAAGGGAGCGUAGACGGCAGCGCAAGUCUGGAGUGAAAUGCCGGGGCCCAACCCCGGAACUGCUUUGGAAACUGUGCAGCUCGAGUGCAGGAGAGGUAAGCGGAAUUCCUAGUGUAGCGGUGAAAUGCGUAGAUAUUAGGAGGAACACCAGUGGCGAAGGCGGCUUACUGGACUGUAACUGACGUUGAGGCUCGAAAGCGAGGGGAGCAAACAGGAUUAGAUACCCUGGUAGUCCACGCCGUAAACGAUGAUUUACUAGGUGUCGGGGGG
rnacentral:rRNA from 1 species